CCGGUAGCUCAGUUGGUAGUAGCAACGGACUGAAAAUCCGUGUGUCGCCGGUUCAAGUCCGGCUUGGGC
rnacentral:tRNA from 1 species